CCUACGGGCGGCAGCAGUGAGGAAUAUUGGUCAAUGGACGGGAGUCUGAACCAGCCAAGUAGCGUGAAGGAUGACUGCCCUAUGGGUUGUAAACUUCUUUUAUAUGGGAAUAAAAUGUUCCACGUGUGGGAUUUUGUAUGUACCAUAUGAAUAAGGAUCGGCUAACUCCGUGCCAGCAGCCGCGGUAAUACGGAGGAUCCGAGCGUUAUCCGGAUUUAUUGGGUUUAAAGGGAGCGUAGGUGGAUUGUUAAGUCAGUUGUGAAAGUUUGCGGCUCAACCGUAAAAUUGCAGUUGAAACUGGCAGUCUUGAGUACAGUAGAGGUGGGCGGAAUUCGUGGUGUAGCGGUGAAAUGCUUAGAUAUCACGAAGAACUCCGAUUGCGAAGGCAGUUCACUGGACUGCAACUGACACUGAGGCUCGAAAGUGUGGGUAUCAAACAGGAUUAGAUACCCGUGUAGUC
rnacentral:rRNA from 1 species